rnacentral:pre_miRNA from 1 species
AGAGGGAUAGUUGGGUCAAAAAGUGGUUCCAUUCCAAUUUUUCUAAGAAAUCUCCAUAAUGCUUUUCAGAUUGGUUGCACCAAUUUGCAGUCCCACCAGCAAU